UACGUAGGUGGCGAGCGUUAUCCGGAAUGAUUGGGCGUAAAGGGUGCGUAGGCGGCCUGCUAAGUCUGGAGUGAAAGGUACCGGCUCAACCGGUACAGGCUCUGGAAACUGGCGGGCUAGAGAGCAGGAGAGGGCGGUGGAACUCCAUGUGUAGCGGUGAAAUGCGUAGAGAUAUGGAGGAACACCAGUGGCGAAAGGCGGCUUCCUGGUCUGCAACUGACACUGAGGCGCGAAAGCGUGGGGAGCAAACAGG
rnacentral:rRNA from 1 species